AGGAUAUAAGAGCAGAUAGAAAUAUAUAAACGUGUUCAGGAAAUUGUGUGGGUUGUGAGAGAUAAAGGGGAGUGAAAGAUAAACACAAAGCUUUUUGGAAAGCAAGAAAAUAAGAAUGUUUUAUUUAAAUAUUUAAAGUAGAUUAAAUGUGUAAUAAGUAAAGAUGUUUAAAUUAAAAUUGGUAAAUUUGUAAGUAAAAUACGUAACUUAGAAAGAAAAUCAACAAACAAAAAUUGAUAAGUAGGAAACGUGGACCAAUGACCUUUCUCUCCAUCUGCUUCCAUUCUUUACACUGACCGUUUAAACUUGGUCUCAGAUACAGACUGAAGAGAUGGACUUUGAAAUAAGCAUGACCUAAGUGAUGACUGCGUAUCUGUUAAAUUUCAACCAUAUAAUCAAUCUCAAAAGUGUUGAAAAAAAAUGUAGGAAGCACAUUUCCCUAUAAUAAAACUAUUCAAAUAUAUGACUAACAUAUAAUUAACAACUCUUCUUGACACCAGGCAUAUAAUAAGUGAGACAGUCCUGUUGUUCAGGUUUGUAUACAUAGAAAAUUGGGGCAUUAGGAAAGUUGUUUUUUAUUUAUUAUUUAUUUUGUCUUUUCUAGGGCCACACUCAUGGCAUAUCAAGGUUCCCACCAGGCUAGGGGUCUAAUUGGAGCUGUAGCCACCGGCCUACACCACAGCCACAGCAACUUGGGAUCUGAGCUGCAUCUUCGACCUACAGCACAGCUUGUGGCAACAUCGGAUCCUUAACCCACUGAGCAAGGUCAGGGAUCGAACCUGCAACCUCAUGGUUCCUAGUCGGAUUCGUUAACCACUGAGUCACUACGGGAACUCCAAGUUGUCUUUUUAAAAGUUAAACUUUUAUACAAAUAAUUCUGGACCAGACGCAGUGUAUUUCUUUAACAAAAAAGAUUAAUGAUAUCUCUAGGGAAAUUUUCCUCCUGGGUAUCUGUAUAACCAAACACAUAAAAUAAUUAAAGUUUUUCAAUGGGCACUGGAUAAGAAAAUGUUUUAUGUUGAGGAUAUACAUAAUAUAAUUUCCAACCUCUGUAACAACACACAUUAUUAUUGAAAAGUCAUAUAUUAAAUAAAAAUAGGUAUAAAAAGGACAAAGAUGUGUAGUUUCCAAAAAUCAGAGAAUUUCAGGGGAGUUCUAAGAUAAGGAAAUAAGAUCUGCUGUCAAAAUUAUGUAGUUAAUAAUGCAGACAAAUACAGUUAAAAUAAAUGAGUAUUAUUUUUCCUGGACAUUUCCUUUGGAUUCACAUAAUUAUGAAGUAAUCUAUCAUAAAAUUUUUUUUCAUUUCUUCAAAUAGCUCAAUGACAACAAUUGUAGGAAUUCAUAUAUUAAAAAACUAGGUCAAAAUGAUAAAUUCAAAUUCUUUGUCAAAAUUCAACAGUUACACACACUACUCCCAGCACAAACUGUAAAGAAAUGAACAAAUUUCGCAUUAGAAAGCAGACCUAUGUAUGCACUAAUAUUUAGUUGUGUUGGAUACUGUGACCAACCUGAUAAAUUUUAAAAGGAAACAUUUCCAGUAUCAAAUUAUCACUGUACUCCAUAUAUUUUCUUUCACCAUUUUUCCUAAAUCAGAACUUGAAAGGCUAUAAAAGGAGGUUAUUUUUUUUAAUGGUAAACAUAGAACAAAUUAGAUUAAACGUAACUAGCAGGAAAUAUGGUCUUUAAACUUUAGACAUACCAAUCUUUUACCUUUUUUGAAUACCAAAGCAGUUUUCCAAAAACACUUAAAAAAGGAUAUAUACUGAGAUUUACUCAGACAAAAUCAUCUCUAAUUCAAUAUUUAACUACUUAUCAUCACGCUGAAUAGGGCUCACCAACAUUCCAUUCCUCUCUGCAUGGAUCUCACUCUACCCCUCAAUCUACCCAUAUCUAUUUAAGAUAACUUUGUACUUGGUUUGAUCAGUGCUUUGUUUCCUCAGAUUUUUUGACUAGUAUAUUACAUUUUCCCAUUACUACAAUUUACUUAUUUAUGUACCGAAUACCUUUCUAAGUAUCACCCACAAUGCCAGUCUUCAUUGAUCCCAUGGUGUUACUUAUGCUUUCUGUGCUCUGAAGGAAAAUAGCCAAAGAUUAUGAAGAAUUCUCAGGAGGAUAUGAGAUCCAAGAACACCAAUCCCAAAGUAUCAAAAAUGUACAAGUUAUACCAGGGUUCUUCUCAGGCACAACGUGUUUUUAAAAAAAUAAAACAUGUAUUAUAAAAACUAUUUUAACUCUGUCUCUGGAGAAUUCGUAUAGAUUCUAUAAUAUCUUUGCCUCCCACACACUUUAUGUUUUGAAAUCCCAAAUACAUAGGUCAUUUGAAAGCACACACACAAAAAACAAAGCAUGAUUUUAGUUGGCAAUAAAAAGUGACACCUUAUAGUAAGAUGAAGAAUUUAGCCUGUUAAGGAAACAUCGUACCUCAGGUUAAAUGCAACAUUAGUAGUCUAUGCCCUAGGUGACCUCAGUUUCUUUCCUGAAAGUUGCCUUCUCUCAAAAUAGCUUUUGGGAUUUUUUUUUAAAUUAUUAUUGGAUCUUAAACUAAUAGCUCAUGAUAACUAAAUAGUCUCCACAACAUCUAUCUUAAUAGAAUAUUUAUCUAUGUAUAUAGCUACCAUUCCUGUAACUUGUUGUAGACAUGUGGCUACAUUAUGUCCAAAGGAUGUAAAGGAAAAUACCCAGUGCAAUUUCUUGGGAAUCCUAUUCUAAUAAAGGAAGUUUUUUUCUUCUUCCACUUUAUUCUCUUAUGAUGGCAAGUCAUUUGGAGCCAUGAGUAUGAUCAAUUACAGUAGGAAGUGCUAGUAAACAAGAUAGAACUAAUCCAAGUCAACAAGGAGAACACAAUGAUUUUGUGGAUGUACCAGCCUGAACAUUUAAAUGAGAGAAACAUAAAUUAUUUUUUGUUUAAACAAUUGUGGUAUUUGUAUUCGUCACACUCUAGAAAUCUGUUAGAAAAACCUGUUUCCUUUGACUGAUAUUUUAUAUUUAUUUGAUUUCUUUACUAUAUUCCCUGUGUCUCUUUCAUGAUUCAUUUUCUGCUUCCAAUUAUUGGCUAAGUAUUCCAUGAACUCAAUAUCAAUUUUUAAAAUUGUCAAUAAUUUAGCUCUUUAAUUGAAAUUAUUCUAAUUAUUUACAAACUCUAAGGUAAAUACAUGUGUCUAUUCUUGGGUCUCUAUUUCUGUGAUUUUUGUGGAUUUUGGGCUUUGUAUCUCCCUCUAGUAUGAUUAUAUUUUUUUUUUACUGGAUAGUCAAAACUGUAUGCAAGUGUUAAAGGCACAGGGUGAUAAUUAAUUACACAGAUAUAAUUAAAUUCAUUGUAGCACACAGGUUAAGGAAGAAAAGCUUAACUAAAAUGGAAUGAGGUUAUUCAAAUACGUGUUUCAUGCUAUGGGAGAAAUGAUGGAUUCAUUGUACUUCUGCUUGGAGUCUAUGAUUUCAGUGUUGUGACCUAAAAGUCUAGGUAUUGACGCAGGCUCUUCCACCUUGGCAAGUCAUAAAUAUCAAAUUUUGUCUUCGGACAUUAGGAAACAGCAGGGAUUUCUUGAGAUUCUUUAUCAGCGGGUGCUGCUUUGCACUUGUGGGUCUCUGUUUUCCUUGCUUGAUGCUUAGGAUUUAUCAACUAUGUUUAGGGAGAAAACAAAGAGAUGGGAAAAAAUGGACUACGAAUACCUUAGGGAAUUGUUUAGUCUGUGGUCACAGUGGUUAUCAGGGAUUUCGGAAUAUACAUCAGUGUGAAUGAGAUUCUUAAGAAGGAGAAAUUUUAGAGGAAAAAAUACAUUAAAAUUUUGAGGAAGGGAUUUGGCUGGAAAAACAGAAAAAAUUCUCCAUCAUUCUCAACCUUUUUCUUGCAAAACAGAAAUAGGAAAAAAAGCAAUUUGCCAAAAGGUUCAUCUGUCAGGCUAAGCUAAAUGAACUCUGUCUCCAAUAACUGGUUCUUAUUUCCCUUUUAUGAAUCUUACCAAAACUACACAAUGAAAAUGAUUAGUUUAAAGUAAUAAAGUGUGUGUGUGUGUUUUUUUUUUUACUGACAACUAAAGAAAAACACUUUUUCAGAAUUCUGUUCAUGAGCAUGUAUUUUUUUCUGCAUAAAUAUCACGUGAUAUUUAACGUCCUCUAAUAAACUGGUUUACAGAUCUGGAUAUCCUAAAAUUUCUCUCCUCUUUGAUAGCUUGAAUAGUUCCUAUUUGGCAGAAUUUGUCUUAUUGUUUUCAUUUUGACUCCUACCAUAUGAAUAUUUUAAGGAGUAAAAGCAUAUGUUUUUUGAAUUACACUUUCUAAUUAUAUUGAAGAAAAAAUAAUUGAAAUAAAUUAUAAAUAUUAGUAUCAACUAACUUUUACUUGGCUAUUCCAAUCUUUCCCUCAAAAACAGAUGUUUAAGUCCAGGUCCAGGUUAUAUUUACAAAUGUUAUAGUUCCAUUAUUUCAUUUCCCCACCCAAUUCUGAAUUUAAUUUAUAACCCCUGAAGCAUUCAUUUCUUUUACCCUGCAGAAAAACCUCAUUUAUUAUUUUAAAAUUAUUAUUCUUCUUUUUGCUAAACGUACCAAUAUACCCACUUAUUUAAUCAAUUUAUAUUUAGUCCAAGUAAUGAGUUGAUGCUUUACAAAAUCUAUGUUAUAUAUGGGAAGAAAUAUAAAUAUAGGAAAGAUAAAUAAAAGACAAAAAAUACUUUCUUUAAUUUUAUCUUCCUUAUAAUAUGUAAGGGGUUAUGCAUAAUUUAUAAUUCUUUCAACACAUUUAUUGUUGUCAAACUACAGUAUUCUGAUUAAACAAGUGAUUUUCAAAG
rnacentral:lncRNA from 1 species